CCUACGGGGGGCUGCAGUAGGGAAUAUUGCACAAUGGGGGAAACCCUGAUGCAGCGACGCCGCGUGAGUGAUGAAGGCCUUCGGGUCGUAAAGCUCUGUCGUAUGGGACUAACACAAUGAAGGUACCAUGCAAGAAAGGAUCGGCUAACUUCGUGCCAGCAGCCGCGGUAAGACGAGGGAUCCUAGCGUUGUUCGGAAUCAUUGGGCGUAAAGCGGGUGUAGGCGGUCUUAUAAGUCAGGUGUGAAAGCCCAGGGCUCAACCCUGGAAGUGCACU
rnacentral:rRNA from 1 species